GACAGAGGAUGCAAUCGUUGUUCGGAAUCAUUGGGCUUAAAGCGCGCGCAGGAGGCCUUGUAAGUGUCUUGUGAAAUCCCACGACUCACCCGUGGAACUGCACGGCAAACUGCAAGACUUGAGGUCGGUAGAGGUGCCUGGAACUCUAGGUGGAGCGGUGAAAUGCGUAGAUAUCUAGGGGAACGCCGGAGGCGAAAGCGGGGCGCUGGGCCGAUUCUGACGCUGAUGCGCGAAAGCGUGGGGAGCAAACAGG
rnacentral:rRNA from 1 species